rnacentral:rRNA from 1 species
GGGAACGUGCCUUUAGGUUCGGAAUAGCUCCUGGAAACGGGUGGUAAUGCCGAAUGUGCCCUUCGGGGGAAAGAUUUAUCGCCUUUAGAGCGGCCCGCGUCUGAUUAGCUAGUUGGUUGAGGUAACGGCUCACCAAGGCGACGAUCAGUAGCUGGUCUGAGAGGAUGGCCAGCCACAUUGGGACUGAGACACGGCCCAAACUCCUACGGGAGGCAGCAGUGGGGAAUCUUGCGCAAUGGGCGAAAGCCUGACGCAGCCAUGCCGCGUGAAUGAUGAAGGUCUUAGGAUUGUAAAAUUCUUUCACCGGGGACGAUAAUGACGGUACCCGGAGAAGAAGCCCCGGCUAACUUCGUGCCAGCAGCCGCGGUAAUACGAAGGGGGCUAGCGUUGCUCGGAAUUACUGGGCGUAAAGGGCGUGUAGGCGGACAUUUAAGUCAGGGGUGAAAUCCCAGAGCUCAACUCUGGAACUGCCUUUGAUACUGGGUGUCUUGAGUGUGAGAGAGGUAUGUGGAACUCCGAGU